AGUGAACGCUGGCGGCAGGCCUAACACAUGCAAGUCGAACGGCAGCACAGUAAGAGCUUGCUCUUACGGGUAGCGAGGGACGGGCGAGUGAGGCAUACAUCACAAUCUACUUUUUCGUGGGGGACAACGUAGGGAAACAUAUGCUAAUACCGCAUAUGUCCUACGGGUGAAAGCAGUAGAGCAUGACAGCUUGCGCGACUGAAUGAGACGAUGUCGGAUUAGCUAGUUGGGGUGGUAAAGGCCCACCAAGGCGACGAUCCGUAGCGGGUCUGAGAGGAUGAUCAGCCACACUGGAACUGAGACACGGUCCAGACUCCUACGGGAGGCAGCAGUGGGGAAUAUUGGACAAUGGGCGCAAGCCUGAUCCAGCCAUGCCGCGUGGGUGAAGAAGGCCUUCGGGUUGUAAAGCCCUUUUGUUGGGAAAGAACAGCAGCAGAUUUAUCCCUCGCUGUUCUGACGGUACCCAAAGAAUAAGCCCCGGCUAACUUCGUG
rnacentral:rRNA from 1 species